rnacentral:misc_RNA from 1 species
GUAUCCGUAUCGAAAUUCGUGUUCCUAGAGAUUGUGUUACUACAGUAUUCAAUGUGGUCCAUAAUGCCUAAUAGUCAGAUGCCAACUCAAGUACGGUUCGAGAAACCCAAAUUCUAAUCUCGAAUUAUUUUGUUGCAUGAACCACAUUUCCAUACACUUUCGAGUUUGGAACAAAUUGUGCAUAAAUGUGCACCAUAAAUUGGCGACGUUUUUGUGAAGAGUGGCGUAUCUGGAUAAGACCACUCCUGAUCGUUACGUAUGGCAUUUUUGCUAUUAUUGUAGUGCCAUUGCUUAUUGUCAAUUCCGUAAAGGAUGGCUUUACAAAAAAGGAUCAAUUUAUUCUCAUUGGGGGGACUUUUUGUCUUGUCUGCUGUUCCAGUCUCAAUUUGGCAUAUCAUUCAACAUGUAAUACACUUUACAAAACCAAUUUUGCAGAAGCAUAUUAUACGAAUUCUAUGGAUGGUGCCAAUUUAUGCUCUUAAUGCCUGGAUUGGACUCUUUUUUCCAAAGCACUCUAUUUAUGUAGACUCUCUUCGGGAAUGCUACGAAGCCUACGUGAUAUACAAUUUUAUGGUCUACCUAUUACAUUAUCUUAACUUGGGAAUGGACCUAGAAGCCACGAUGGAAUAUAAGCCACAGGUGUACCAUUUCUUUCCUCUUUGUUGCAUGCGCCCUUGGCCCAUGGGUCGCGAAUUCAUACAUAACUGCAAGCACGGAAUUCUUCAAUACACGGUCGUCCGGCCUAUAACCACUUUCAUUUCUGUGUAAGUAUAUAUGCAGGCCUGUUUGCUUAGCGAACAAUUCAUUUUAAUUUGUUACGACACACAAAGGAGUACAUAUUUGCAUAGUAAAACUGGUCAAAAUUGA